AAUAACGUUGUGCAAUAUAGAGGCUUUUCACUUAUAGCUCUCACUAUUUAACAGGCGAAGAUUUAUUAUCCAUUGCAGCAGACCAGCCCUUCCGGUUUCCUGCCACCUUCACAUUUGUUGUUAGGGCCUUCUCAGUUUUGGAUGGCAUUGGAAAGGGACUUGACCCCGUUUUGAUAUUACCGAGAUUGCCAAACCUUAUGCCUUGGAGUUGCUGAGAUUCCGUGAGGCAGGAGUUGAAGUUAUUGUAAAGGAUUUCAGAAAGAGAUGGGACAGACAAUCUCAAGCAUUUUACAACUUAUUUAGACAGGCUGACAGAGUUGAAAAGCUGGCCAGCGUUAUCGAGAGAUUGGUAUGUAU